UGCAAUAUAGUCUCAGAAAAAAUGUGGUUAAUUAUUGAGCCUUUUUCAAUGGACUUUUUGGAAGAAUCCGAGAAGCUACGUAAAUAAAACAAUCCACACAACUUCGCUCUUCGUAUUCCCGCUAAAGUGUCCUAAAGAAGUAUAUACGGUAGUUAAAAUACAUGCAUAAUACACUUAUUUAUUGUGAAAAAAGAACCUACGAAUAGAUACAUAUGGGUAAUUGAAAUCUGUAAUUGCAGCUGCCAAUGCCAUGAUCACGGGUAGAGAGAAUCAAAGCCUACCGUGUCUACCGAAAAUCGUGGUAAAAACGCGUUGUAAAGGUACGUCUAAAGAGUAGUUUAUUGUUCAGUGGGACCACAACAACAUAGCAAAGCGGACGUUGACGUGAUGUCUCUAUCGACCUCUAACUUCUUCGGUAUUGCGAUGAUGGUAAAAUCUCAGAGCUUUGGUUGGAAAUAUUAGGAUAUCGAUUUUUUUAAUGUAAUAUAGUUGUUUUUUAUUGUUACAGUAGAUUGGGGUCAAUGGGGACUAUAGGUAGAAUAGAGACAAAUCUGGGUUGUCACAAUACUUUUGUCGGGUUGUUAGAGAUUUAACUUUGUUGAACUGAAAAUGACUUUUAUUUAGUGUUUAGGAAUAUUAAAUAGUUUAAUUUAGUCAUCAGAGUUUUGUAACUCAUUCAAGACUUUUAGUGCCAGCCCUAUUGAAAAACUCUAUUGUCUCCACACGUAGCCCGAUUCACCCCAACGCUUGGGUGAAUAGGGACAAAAGAAGCUUUUGUGACUUUUUAUGAUUAUUCUUUAAUAAACUAUGAAAUAAAUGAAAAUUUAAACUACUGGAACCA